rnacentral:rRNA from 3 species
AAUGGCACUGCCCGGUAGCUAAAUGCGGAAGAGAUAAGUGCUGAAAGCAUCUAAGCACGAAACUUGCCCCGAGAUGAGUUCUCCCUGAGACUUUAGGUCUCCUGAAGGAACGUUGAAGACGACGACGUUGAUAGGCCGGGUGUGUAAGCGCAGCGAUGCGUUGAGCUAACCGGUACUAAUGAACCGUGAGGCUUAACCUUACAACGCCGAAG